AAACCCCCGCCUCCACAGUUAGAUAACUAAAGUGAAAGAGUCACUAGUCCCUAGGCUUGAAUGUAACGUUAAGGUGAGCUACAUGAUGGCAGCCGAUUCAAACCAGCAUUCUUUGGGAUUUAUGAUCUUUGUUUCGCUCUACCUCCUCGUGUCAGUGAUUUUCCCCUCCGCCUCAACCCAAGCGCAAAACAACCACGGAAGUCCGUGUACCGAUGGCACGUACGAGCACGAAGGGCGGGAGUGUUGUCUGUGUGGUGCUGGUCUGCACCUGGUGGAGCACUGCAGUACAAGUCAGACUUAUGGAAAAUGCGAGCCCUGUGGUUCUGGGAAGUACAGCAGUCACCCUAAUUACCAGUUAUCCUGUGAGCCCUGCACAUCCUGCUCACACCCCAACGGUAAUCUAGAGGUGGACGAACCCUGUACCCCUGCCAUUGACACAAAGUGUCGAUGUAAAAAGGAUCACUAUUGCAACAGUGGCACAGAAACCUGUAAACUCUGCCACCCCUGUAAAGAGUGUGGUGAUGAGGGCAUCAAAGUAGCCUGUACAUCUAACAAUAACACAGUCUGCAAUGAAAUUAAAGAGGUAAGUCAUGUAGGAGGCAUAAUAGCUGGCAUCCUUGUUGCAGCUGUAAUAAUUGCAGCAGCAGUGGCUGGUGUGUUGUGGAAAAGGAGAAAAUGGCAGAGAACGCAGUCCCCAAAAACAAAUGGCAAUGAAGCUGAUCUGGAGAUGCAAGGCCUUAGAGUGUUUUCAGAUGUGGAUCUCAAGCCUCACCUGUUGGACAUUGCAGACGUGAUUGGAUGGAAAGAUUUGCGGGGUGUAGCAAUGCGUAGCGGGAUACCAGAAUCCAUCAUUGAAUCUUGUCAACUGAACAACCCUCGUGAUUAUCAGGAGCAGACAUUUCAACUACUGAAUAUUUAUGUGGAGCGUCAGGGCAGGGAGGCCUCAAACAUCUUGAUCCAAAAAUUGCUGACAGGUGGCAAAAAGGCCAAAGCGCAAAAGUGUUUUCAGAUGUGGAUCUCAAGCCUCACCUGUUGGACAUUGCAGACGUGAUUGGAUGGAAGGAUUUGCGGGGUGUAGCAAUGCGUAGCGGGAUACCAGAAUCCAUCAUUGAAUCUUGUCAACUGAACAACCCUCGUGAUUAUCAGGAGCAGACAUUUCAACUACUGAAUAUUUAUGUGGAGCGUCAGGGCAGGGAGGCCUCAAACAUCUUGAUCCAAAAAUUGCUGACAGGUGGCAAAAAGGCCAAAGCGCAAAAGUGUUUUCAGAUGUGGAUCUCAAGCCUCACCUGUUGGACAUUGCAGACGUGAUUGGAUGGAAGGAUUUGCGGGGUGUAGCAAUGCGUAGCGGGAUACCAGAAUCCAUCAUUGAAUCUUGUCAACUGAACAACCCUCGUGAUUAUCAGGAGCAGACAUUUCAACUACUGAAUAUUUAUGUGGAGCGUCAGGGCAGGGAGGCCUCAAACAUCUUGAUCCAAAAAUUGCUGACAGGUGGCAAAAAGGCCAAAGCGCAAAAGUGUUUUCAGAUGUGGAUCUCAAGCCUCACCUGUUGGACAUUGCAGACGUGAUUGGAUGGAAGGAUUUGCGGGGUGUAGCAAUGCGUAGCGGGAUACCAGAAUCCAUCAUUGAAUCUUGUCAACUGAACAACCCUCGUGAUUAUCAGGAGCAGACAUUUCAACUACUGAAUAUUUAUGUGGAGCGUCAGGGCAGGGAGGCC